rnacentral:rRNA from 1 species
GACGCCGCGACCCGUUGGAGUUCCGAGGGGGCCUAAGGCCCGGGUGCGAGCCCGUGGCGCGUUUCGGCGCGCCGCGGAGCCCCGGUGUCCCGGUCCCCUUCCGACGGUCGUAACUGACGGAGCCCUCCCGCGCGCUUGCGCGUGCGCCGGUGCCCCUCGCGAGCGUCUCGCCCGCUAGUCGCGUGCGGACUUCGGUCCGCCGCGGUCGGGCGAGCGUUGUCGGCGCUUGGGGAAUUCUCCGGCAGGGAGUCAUAAUGUUCCGGUCUGCGGCGCUCAAAACUGGGCGGCCCACCCGACCCGUCUUGAAACACGGACCAAGGAGUCUAACAUGUACGCGAGUCACUGGGCACCACGAAACCCAGAGGCGCAUUGAACGAAAAGGCGGGCUUAACUGACCGCCGAGGGGAGAUGGUGCGGCGCUCGCGUCGCACCCGCAUCCCCGGGGCGUCUCACCCUACCCGGGCCAGUCUCGGGAAGGAGAGGCGCACCAAGAGCGUACACGUUGGGACCCGAAAGAUGGUGAACUAUGCCUGGCCAGGACGAAGUCAGGGGAAACCCUGAUGGAGGUCCGUAGCGAUUCUGACGUGC